UACAGUGAAAGCUCGCUAAUCCGAACGGUGUGUAAUCCGAAUUAUCCAGUAAUCCGAAUUGAAUAAAGUGCACAUAUUUGUUUUGACAUACAUAAGUGCAAACAA